GCCUGGCUGGCUCAGUCGGGAGAGCGUGCAGCUCCUGAUCUCAAGGUCGUGAGUUCAAGCCCCACGUCGGGCU